UGGGGAAUAUUGCACAAUGGGGGAAACCCUGAUGCAGCGACGCCGCGUGAACGAAGAAGGUAUUCGUAUCGUAAAGUUUUGUCCUAUGGGAAGAUAAUGACAGUACCAUAGAAGAAAGCUCCGGCUACAUACGUGCCAGCAGCCGCGGUAAUACGUAUGGAGCGAGCGUUGUCCGGAAUUAUUGGGCGUAAAGGGUACGCAGGCGGUUUAAUAAGUCGAAUGUUAAAGAUCGGGGCUCAACCCCGUAAAGCAUUGGAAACUGAUAAACUUGAGUAGUGGAGAGGAAAGUGGAGUUCCUAGUGUAGUGGUGAAAUACGUAGAUAUUAGGAGGAAUACCAGUAGCGAAGGCGACGUUCUGGACACAAACUGACGCUGAGGUACGAAAGCGUGGGGAGCAAACAGG
rnacentral:rRNA from 1 species